rnacentral:rRNA from 1 species
AUUGAACGCUGGCGGCAUGCCUAACACAUGCAAGUCGAACGGUAACAGGAAGCAUCUUGCUGCUUUGCUGACGAGUGGCGGACGGGUGAGUAAUGUCUGGGAAACUGCCUGAUGGAGGGGGAGAACUACUGGAAACGGUAGCUAAUACCGCAUAACGUCGCAAGACCAAAGAGGGGGACCUUCGUGCCUCUUGCCAUCGGAUUGGCCCCGAUGGGAUUAGCUAGUGGGUGGGGUAACGCCUCACCUAGGCGACGAUCCCUAGCUGGUCUGAGAGGAUGACAGGCCACACUGGAACUGAGACACGGUCCAGACUACUACGGGAGGCAGCAGUGGGGAAUAUUGCACAAUGGGCGCAAGCCUGAUGCAGCCAUGCCGCGUGUAUGAAGAAGGCCUUCGGGUUGUAAAGUACUUUCAGCGGGGAGGAAGGGAGUAAAGUUAAUACCUUUGCUAAUUGACGUUACCCGCAGAAGAAGCACCGGCUAACUCCGUG